AAGACUGUGACAAAGACUCCUGGGAUUUAUGACUAGCACAUGCAGGGGCAUAGAGACCUGGAAUUUCAUAGCUGGUAUUAAGUACCGUAGAGCAAAGCACCAGUUUGGAUACCCAACAACGGUGGUGGCAGAAGAGAAUUCUUUAAGCUCCAGCAGUAACAAGAUAUCUGCAACACGAUCAUCACAAACAGUACUAUAAAAUUAAGACUGAUUUACUGCGGUUUGGAGAGAGUGCUGAAAAGUCAUAACGUGAUAAUGAAGCGAGCCUACAAAGCACCUUUUGAGAGGAAAUGUGACAGAGAGAAGGAAAAUCUGUGUAAGGAUUUGAAGACCCUCCAAGACUGAUGGACUGAAAGACUGACCCUGACACCAGAGGCUGAAAAUGAGAAAACGGAAGAGGAGCUGAGGGGCUAGAGAGAAGAGGAGUCACAAAAAUGUCAAGAAUGAGUGACAAGGGAAAUCACAUUACUUGGAAGGAUAGCUACGUAUAGAUAUGAGCAGAGGGAUUUAUUUUCAAGGAAACACAGACUUGGACUGGCACAAAAAACUCCUCGCUUGGUAUGAUUAAGAGAAAUGGUGAGAUAGAUGUUACGAUACGAUGAAAACCUUAAAGUGUAAUUUUAAAGUAUCCGAGUUUAUUUAUAACACUAGAACAACAGAUUGCACCUACAUUUUAAAAAUGAACAGUUUAUUAAUGUUAAAAUACAAAGGCUUAAAAUAACCUAUGUAACCAAUAAUUGUCUGAGGUCUUCAUUAUUAGUAAUCCUAAUCAAUACAUUGUGGAGAAAGGAAAAUAUGUUUUGUUUGUUU